rnacentral:rRNA from 1 species
CAGCCGUAAACUAUGCUCGCUAGGUGUCAGGCAUGGCGCGACCGUGUCUGGUGCCGCAGGGAAGCCGUGAAGCGAGCCACCUGGGAAGUACGGCCGCAAGGCUGAAACUUAAAGGAAUUGGCGGGGGAGCACAACAACGGGUGGAGCCUGCGGUCUAAUUGGACUCAACGCCGGACAACUCACCGGGGACGACAGCAAUAUGUAGGCCAGGCUGAAGACCUUGCCUGAAUCGCUGAGAGGAGGUGCAUGGCGUAGACGUCU